ACCUAGAGUUUGUAGACUUCGGUCUGCUACCUCUUACCCAUGUCUUUUGAGUACCUUCGUUUCCUCGGCGGGUCCGCCCGCCGAUUGGACAACAUUCAAACCCUUUGCAGUUGCAAUCAGCGUCUGAAAAAACAUAAUAGUUACAACUUUCAACAACGGAUCUCUUGGUUCUGGCAUCGAUGAAGAACGCAGCGAAAUGCGAUAAGUAGUGUGAAUUGCAGAAUUCAGUGAAUCAUCGAAUCUUUGAACGCACAUUGCGCCCCUUGGUAUUCCAUGGGGCAUGCCUGUUCGAGCGUCAUUUGUACCUUCAAGCUCUGCUUGGUGUUGGGUGUUUGUCUCGCCUCUGCGUGUAGACUCGCCUUAAAACAAUUGGCAGCCGGCGUAUUGAUUUCGGAGCGCAGUACAUCUCGCGCUUUGCACUCAUAACGACGACGUCCAAAAGUACAUUUUUACACUCUUGACCUCGGAUCAGGUAGGGAUACCCGCUGAACUUAAGCAUAU
rnacentral:rRNA from 1 species